AAACGUAGGAUCCGAGCGUUAUCCGAAUUCACUGGGCGUAAAGCGCGUGCAGGCGGCAUAGCAAGUUGGAUGUGAAAACUCCCGGCUCAACUGGGAGAGGACGUUCAAAACUGCUAGGCUAGAGGAUGGUAGAGGAAGGUAGAAUUCCCGGUGUAGUGGUGAAAUGCGUAGAUAUCGGGAGGAAUACCAGUGGCGAAGGCGGCCUUCUGGGCCAUACCUGACGCUCAGACGCGAAAGCUAGGGGAGCAAACGGGAUUAGAAACCCCGGUAGUCCUAGCCGUAAACGAUGUAGACUUGGCGUCAGAGGUGUAAAAACCUUUGGCGCCGAAGCAAACGCGAUAAGUCUACCGCCUGGGGACUACGGCCGCAAGGUUAAA
rnacentral:rRNA from 1 species